rnacentral:rRNA from 1 species
ACUCAAAUGAAUUGACGGGGGCCCGCACAAGCGGUGGAGCAUGUGGUUUAAUUCGACGCAACGCGAAGAACCUUACCAGCCCUUGACAUGUCCCGUAUGGGCGCGAGAGAUCGCGUCCUUCAGUUCGGCUGGCGGGAACACAGGUGCUGCAUGGCUGUCGUCAGCUCGUGUCGUGAGAUGUUGGGUUAAGUCCCGCAACGAGCGCAACCCCCGUCUCCAGUUGCCAUCGGGUUAUGCCGGGCACUCUGGAGAAACUGCCGGUGAUAAGCCGGAGGAAGGCGGGGAUGACGUCAAGUCCUCAUGGCCCUUAUGGGCUGGGCUACACACGUGCUACAAUGGCGGUGACAGAGGGACGCAAGGGCGCGAGCUCGAGCCAAUCUCGAAAAGCCGUCUCAGUUCGGAUUGCACUCUGCAACUCGAGUGCAUGAAGUCGGAAUCGCUAGUAAUCGCGGAUCAGCACGCCGCGGUGAAUACGUUCCCGGGCCUUGUACACACCGCCCGU